GUCCCUGUAGCGCAAUGGAUAGCGCGUUGGACUUCUAAUCCAAAUGUCGUGGGUUCGACUCCCUCCUGGAAUG
rnacentral:tRNA from 1 species